rnacentral:tRNA from 1 species
UAAGAGUGCCAGAUUUUUAUGGGGAGGACUUAGGAUCCUUUUAAGGUGCUUUAGUACCCUCUUGC